rnacentral:rRNA from 1 species
GUGACCUCAAAUCAGGUAGGACUACCCGCUGAACUUAAGCAUAUCAAUAAGCGGAGGAAAAGAAACUAACAAGGAUUCCCCUAGUAACUGCGAGUGAAGCGGGAAAAGCUCAAAUUUAAAAUCUGGCGGUCUAUGGCUGUCCGAGUUGUAAUCUAGAGAAGUGCUAUCCGCGCUGGACCGUGUACAAGUCUCCUGGAAUGGAGCGUCAUAGAGGGUGAGAAUCCCGUCUUUGACACGGACUGCCAGGGCUUUGUGAUACGCUCUCAAAGAGUCGGGUUGUUUGGGAAUGCAGCUCAAAAUGGGUGGUAAAUUCCAUCUAAAGCUAAAUAUUGGCGAGAGACCGAUAGCGAACAAGUACCGUGAGGGAAAGAUGAAAAGAACUUUGGAAAGAGAGUUAAACAGUACGUGAAAUUGCUGAAAGGGAAACGCUUGAAGUCAGUCGCGUUGUCCAGGGAUCAACCUUGCUUUUGCUUGGUGCACUUUCUGGUUGACGGGUCAGCAUCAAUUUUGACUAUUGGAAAAAGAUUAGGGGAAUGUGACAUCUUUGGAUGUGUUAUAGCCCUUGGUUGCAUACAAUGGUUGGGAUUGAGGAACUCAGCACGCCGCAAGGCCGGGUUUUAAACCACGUACGUGCUUAGGAUGCUGGCAUAAUGGCUUUAAUCGACCCGU